CCCUCAAAACAUCCACCCACCUCCAUCUCAUAGUGUAUACUUAAAUUAUAUAUAAAUUCUCUCGGAUCAGUAUUUCUAUUUCCUUACCGAACACCAGAAUAUAGUAAGAAAACAACUAUUUCUCGUAAAAAUAUAUUCCUUUAUUGCAGCCACAUCCCUAAUGUAAAAAUUUAUGACGCUCUCAACAUACAUAACUUAAAAAUCUUUUUUCUUUCCUUCCUUCCUAUCUGCUUCCUUUACAAACCACAUUGAUUAGGUGUUUUGUAUGAUCUCUAGUGGGCUCUUGGUGGGGAGGGAUUUUUUUCUCAGAUUAUUACAUGGCAAAAUUGAUCAAAAACUCAAAAAUCUCCACAUUUAAAUCUCAAUCUUUCCUUUUCUUAUGUACCCUUUUCUUCAUUUUCCUCAUCCUUGUUCAUACAUAUCCUCCUCCUUCUAAUGUAACAAUGAAAUUUCACUCAAGAAAGAUCCCGAUAAAUAAUCCUCAGGACUCAUCAUUUACUCAUAGAGAAUUUGAAGUUGGUGAUCAUGAAGUUCCAAGAGGACCAAAUCCUAUAUCAAAUCGUUAAACCCGUUGGAACUAUAUUUGGUUCGUGUUAGACAAGCUACAUACAUGGAAAGAGAAGAAGAUUAGAAGAAAGAAGCUCGAAAAGAAAUAGUUUGGCUUUCAGUCUCAAACCGGUUUAGUGUAAGCGUGUUCGUUAUCAAGUCAAUUCGCAAAACGACACCUUAUCCCCUAUUUUACUGCUGUUAUUGGCAUAGAGUUAGCCAAGACUUCUUCCUCGAGUUAUAUAUGUUGAUGAAGAUUUUGUAAAGGUAAUCACUGAAUGUUUAUAUUUAGUGAUCAUUAAUACAACUAGUUGUUUUCUUCAAAGGA